UCCCCCGCUUUACGGAGGCAGUCUCGCCUGAGUGAUACAACAGACGAUAGGGGUUGCGCUCGUUAUCCCACUUAAGGGUACACCUCACGGCACGAGCUGACGACAGCCAUGCAGCACCUGUGUAUGCUACCUUGCGGUUUGUUCCCCUUUCGGAGUCCUAAAACAUACAUGUCAAACCCUGGUAAGGUUCUUCGUUUUGUCUCGAAUUAAACCACACGUUCCUCUGCUUGUGCGGGUCCCCGUCAAUUCCUUUGAGUUUUAGUCUUGCGACCGUACUCCCCAGGCGGGACACUUAACGCGUUAGCUUACGACACCGAGCCGUCACCAGCCCGAUAUCUAGUGUCCAUGGUUUACGGCGUGGACUAC
rnacentral:misc_RNA from 1 species